CAUUUUCGGUCUUUCGCUCGUGGCUGCUUUGUGAGGGAGGAGUGAUUUCCAGUGGUCGUGGAACAUUUCAGACGCUCAACAAGGCAGCACCACAAGCACAAGGUGUUGGACUGCCAGUGGGUUUGGAAGUUUGAAGCGUCGUUUGGCCUGGUUCACCUGUAUGGCUGUAAAUAAAGUGCCCGCAUCACUGUAAUCAAUCCAAGUGGGUUUAUCAUUUACAUAAAAUCUUGGUGGUUUUGUAAGUCAUUUAUGUAUUUUUCAUUUCUUUGAAUAAAGUCUUUUUUCAGUGGA